AUUGAACGCUGGCGGCAGGCCUAACACAUGCACGUCGAACGAGUGGCGGACGGGUGAGUAAUGUCUGGGAGACUGCCUGAUGGAGGGGGAUAACUACUGGAAACGGUAGCUAAUACCGCAUACCAUCAGAUGUGCCCAGAUGGGAUUAGCUAGUUGGUGGGGUAACGGCUCCCCAAGGCGACGCUCCCUAGCUGGUCUGAGAGGAUGACCAGCCACACUGUGACUGAGACACGGUCCAGACUCCUACGUGAGGCAGCAGUGGGGAAUAUUGCACAAGGGGCGCAAGCCUGAGUCAGCCAUGCCGCGUGUAUUAGGAAGGCCUUCGGGUUGUAAAGUACUUUCGGCGGGGAGGCGUUACCCGCAGAAGAAGCACCGGCUAACUCCGUGCCAGCAGCCGCGGUAAUUC
rnacentral:rRNA from 1 species